rnacentral:snRNA from 1 species
CAUUGCGAUGGUCCCUGCGGA